GGAUGCGAUCAUACCAGCGUUAAUGCACUGGAUCCCAUCAGAACUCCGCAGUUAGGCGCGCUUGGGCUAGAGUAGUACUGGGAUGGCUGACCUCCCGGGAAGUCCUAGUGUUGCACCCU
rnacentral:rRNA from 1 species